GAGGGGGAGAGGUGAAAAUAAUCUAAUUUUGCAUUCAGAUGACAGAUGCCACUGCAGGAUCAAGGGACCUUCUGCCAGCAGAAGAUACUGACGCAUCCUUUACUUAACAAAUCUCUCACAACCUCCUUAUAAUACUGGUUUGAGCCUCUUUAAGUAGUAAGAGGUCAAAACAUGUCCCUCUCUAUUUAUAGGCAUUAGCCAGACAUCUUGGUUAUAUUCAAGAAUAGCUCAAAUUACAGUGUGUAAUUUCAAGUUGUACACUUUCAAGUGGAAAAAGCCAACUGCAGUAUUAUUUCUCCCUGUUUGUCAACAGAGGAUGGCUUUCACCAUUCAAAGGCAGUGUAAUGUUUACUAUUAUUAGAGACGACAUAUAGGAAGGGCGUAGAAUUUAAUCUGGCCGGCUAGAGAUCUCAAUACAACCAAGAAAGGAUGUACAGAAUGUCCACUACACACUUCAACUCUUACCCUGAUCACAAAAGUUAAUGGAGAAAGGCGGGUGGACUGAGACGGAAGCCCACUUCUCAGAGAUUGGAGAUAAUGUGAUGAGAUGGAGCAGAGAGCGAUUUCUGAUGGAAAUUCAGAAGCUGCUGACAUUUGGCGAAGACAAUAUUGGCCUGGAUUGAUUACUUCAGCUCCCUAUUUCUCCCUGAUGUUCCACAAUCCCAACUUGGGAACGUUGCCUUAGCAGAACCUCCAUCUUUUAUCUUUUAGAAACAGAAAAUGAAGAAAUGAAUAUAGUUAAAAAAUAACAAGUGUGUCCCAUGAUGCAGAUAGAAAAGUAAAAACAGAUUUAUCCACCUGAAGAAGUUGAAAACAAUCUGAUUAUACUAUUAGCAUAUCUGUUUAGAUAUACCUCAAGGUGCUUACACAAUGAAAAAAGUUAUGAG
rnacentral:lncRNA from 11 species